rnacentral:lncRNA from 1 species
AACAUCGUGUUUCACCAAAAUCAUACCAAGUGACAUGUACUAGUGCAAACAAGCGAGAGAACUCAAGUGAAUCAUGCAUCAUCAUCAACUUUCAUCGUUAAAGCAAAAACAUAGAAACCCUAGGUUUCCCAAUCCAUGAAAUUUCUUCCCUAAAAGCUAAAUCAUCUAGAACCUACCUUAGAUUGAAGAAGAUGAUGAAAUAUUGGAGAUGAGAUUAUGAUGAUCCAAGAUAUUCUUCCUUCUUCCAAGUUUUUUCCUUCUUCUUUGUCCUUUUUUC